rnacentral:rRNA from 1 species
GACAGAGGUGCCGAGCGUUAGGCGGAAUCACUGGGCUUAAAGCGUGUGUAGGCGGGUCGUUAAGUGUCCGUGUGAAAUCCCACCGCUCAACGGUGGAACUGCCGGGCAUACUGGCGAUCUUGAGCCACCUAGGGGCGAGCGGAACAAGCGGUGGAGCGGUGAAAUGCGUAGAUAUCGCUUGGAACGCCAGUCGGUGAAAAACA